CAGCCGCCGCGGUAAUACCGGCGGCCCGAGUGGCGGUCACUAUUAUUGGGCUUAAAGCGUCCGUAGCCGGGUUGGGAAGUCCUCCGGGAAAUCUGGCCGCUUAACGGUCAGAAUGCCGGAGGAUACUCCCAGCCUAGGGAGCGGGAGAGGCCGAGGGGAUUCCCGGAGUAGGGGUGGAAUCCUAUAAUCCCGGGAGGACCACCUGUGGCGAAGGCGCUCGGCUGGAACGCGUCCGACGGUGAGGGACGAAGGCCAGGGGAGCAAACCGGAUUAGAUACCCGGGUAGUCCUGGCUGUAAACGAUGCGGACUUUGUGUCGGACAAGCUAUGAGCUUGUCCGGUGCCGGAGGGAAACCGUUAAGUCCGCCGCCUGGGGAGUACGGCCGCAAGGCUGAAACUUAAAGGAAUUGGCGAG
rnacentral:rRNA from 1 species